AGGCGUGGCUUCCGGAGCUAACGCGUUAAGUCGACCGCCUGGGGAGUACGGCCGCAAGGUUAAAACUCAAAUGAAUUGACGGGGGCCCGCACAAGCGGUGGAGCAUGUGGUUUAAUUCGAUGCAACGCGAAGAACCUUACCUACUCUUGACAUCCAGAGAACUUACCAGAGAUGCAUUGGUGCCUUCGGGAACUCUGAGACAGGUGCUGCAUGGCUGUCGUCAGCUCGUGUUGUGAAAUGUUGGGUUAAGUCCCGCAACGAGCGCAACCCUUAUCCUUUGUUGCCAGCGGUUAGGCCGGGAACUCAAAGGAGACUGCCAGUGAUAAACUGGAGGAAGGUGGGGAUGACGUCAAGUCAUCAUGGCCCUUACGAGUAGGGCUACACACGUGCUACAAUGGCGCAUACAAAGAGAAGCGACCUCGCGAGAGCAAGCGGACCUCAUAAAGUGCGUCGUAGUCCGGAUUGGAGUCUGCAACUCGACUCCAUGAAGUCGGAAUCGCUAGUAAUCGUGGAUCAGAAUGCCACGGUGAAUACGUUCCCGGGCCUUGUACACACCGCCCGUCACACCAUGGGAGUGGGUUGCAAAAGAAGUAGGUAGCUUAACCUUCGGGAGGGCGCUUACCACUUUGUGAUUCAUGACUGGGGUGAAGUCGUAC
rnacentral:rRNA from 1 species